CUCCCGUUGAUGAGCUUAAGAUAUACUCGCUAAAUUUUGUUGUUGUUCUCAAAAGUCGUAUAUCAGUGCUCGUGAAAUAUAGACGAAGGGUCAUACAGGUGAACUCAGCUGAAGUUUGAAGAAAAUCAAUUGCACCGUUACAAUCCAAUAGUCAAUCAGAGCUUCAAUUUGAAAAUAUGACAAAGCCUACUGUGAAACCCGAGAACUGAGAUCGGAUGAAGCCAGCAUCUUCCGGAGUUGCCGUCUCAGAUAGCACAUUUUGACCAGUGAAGAAAAAGAGAAUUGAAGAAUAAGAGCGAGAUCAGUAGUGAAGAAAUAGAACAUUGAAAAGAGUAAAAAAAGAAACUAGAUUCACCUUCUUCUAAUCCUUUUUAUUUUUUUUGGGAAGUGAAUGAAUUUCGGAAGUUCUCGCUGGGCGUUUCACAAUUCAGUGAAAGUGUUCGUUUUUUUCCUUCUCUCCUGGUGUUGCUAAUCAUCUUCGAAAGUUAUUGAGAUAUAAUCCUAUUCGUGUUUGAUUUUGCCUCAUGUAAAUGCAUGGAUAUCAUUUUAAUACAUUGAAGUUAAUUUGUUUGAGCUGAUACUCAA